rnacentral:rRNA from 1 species
UAGUACGAGAGGACCGGAGUGGACGCAUCACUGGUGUUCGGGUUGUCAUGCCAAUGGCACUGCCCGGUAGCUAAAUGCGGAAGAGAUAAGUGCUGAAAGCAUCUAAGCACGAAACUUGCCCCGAGAUGAGUUCUCCCUGACCCUUUAAGGGUCCUGAAGGAACGUUGAAGACGACGACGUUGAUAGGCCGGGUGUGUAAGCGCAGCGAUGCGUUGAGCUAACCGGUACUAAUGAACCGUGAGGCUUAACCUUACAACGCCGAAGGUGUUU